rnacentral:rRNA from 1 species
GACGAACCGUGCGAACGUUAUUCGGAAUCACUGGGCUUAAAGCGCGUGUAGGCGGGAGGGCACGUCCGUUGCUGAAAUCCCCCGGCUCAACCGGGGAACGGGCGCGGAUACGACCUUCCUGGAGGGGCGUAGGGGGACCUGGAACUUCCGGUGGAGCGGUGAAAUGCGUUGAGAUCGGAAGGAACGCCCGUGGCGAAAGCGAGGUCCUGGACGCCUACUGACGCUGAGACGCGAAAGCCAGGGGAGCAAACAGG